GAUGAACGCUGGCGGCGUGCCUAAUACAUGCAAGUCGAGCGAACAGACGAGGAGCUUGCUCCUCUGACGUUAGCGGCGGACGGGUGAGUAACACGUGGAUAACCUACCUAUAAGACUGGGAUAACUUCGGGAAACCGGAGCUAAUACCGGAUAAUAUAUUGAACCGCAUGGUUCAAUAGUGAAAGACGGUUUUGCUGUCACGUAUAGAUGGAUCCGCGCCGCAUUAGCUAGUUGGUAAGGUAACGGCUUACCAAGGCGACGAUGCGUAGCCGACCUGAGAGGGUGAUCGGCCACACUGGAACUGAGACACGGUCCAGACUCCUACGGGAGGCAGCAGUAGGGAAUCUUCCGCAAUGGGCGAAAGCCUGACGGAGCAACGCCGCGUGAGUGAUGAAGGUCUUCGGAUCGUAAAACUCUGUUAUUAGGGAAGAACAGAUGUGUAAGUAACUAUGCACGUCUUGACGGUACCUAAUCAGAAAGCCACGGCUAACUACGUG
rnacentral:rRNA from 1 species